rnacentral:rRNA from 1 species
CGUAGGUGAACCUGCGGAGGGAUCAUUACUGAGUACUACACUCUCUACCCUUUGUGAACUAUUAUACCUGUUGCUUCGGCGGCGCCCGCAAGGGUGCCCGCCGGUCUCAUCAGAAUCUCUGUUUUCGAACCCGACGAUACUUCUGAGUGUUCUUAGCGAACUGUCAAAACUUUUAACAACGGAUCUCUUGGCUCCAGCAUCGAUGAAGAACGCAGCGAAACGCGAUAUGUAAUGUGAAUUGCAGAAUUCAGUGAAUCAUCGAAUCUUUGAACGCACAUGGCGCCUUCCAGUAUCCUGGGAGGCAUGCCUGUCCGAGCGUCGUUUCAACCCUCGAGCCCCUGUGGCCCGGCGUUGGGGAUCUGCCACGGCAGGCCUCUAAAACCAGUGGCGGACCCGAAGGGCCCUCUCCUUUGCGCAGUAGCAUUCGCCUCGCAUUGGGAGUCCUCGGCGUCCUGCCUCUAAACCCCCCACAAGCCCGCUUCGGCGGCACCAAGGUUGACCUCGGAUCAGGUAGGAAUACCCGCUGAACUUAAGCAUAUCAAUAAGCGGAGGAA